UGGUUGGUCUUGGGCGUAGGAUGGGCCGAGUGGACCUGGCUGGACUUGGACCCUCCCUGGGCUGGCGCCCUUCCCCCUCCUCUCCCCGCGGGGCUUGGAAGGGCUUGACCUGCCGGGAGAGCAAAGCCGACAGUCUCCCGUCCUGUCUCAGGACCUCGCCCCUCUCGAGUCCCGGCCCUGGGCAAGCCUUGGGCAAGCCUGCCCAGCACCUGUCUCGGCUCCUCACCAGGUUCGCCUUCUUUCCUGCCCACUGAGGAAUCCAUGUGCCAGUCUGCGGGUCCGAAUACCCAGGUGACCAAGACUGUCUGAAGAGCUACAACGUCUCACGUGUUUUUGUUUUAUUACCCUUUCUCCAGACUUCCUGGGCUUCGUUCAUUGUGCUUUGUUCGUAUUAGGGUCAUUUUCGUGAAGCUGACCCUUCUGUCUCAUCUGUGCAUUUGGGGCCUAUCCUUAGCAAGAUUAUUUCUUCCAGUGCAGCAUCACACAGCACGAGCGGUCACAGGCACCGCAGUGACCUCCGAUGGCCCAGGAGUGACCCCAGUUCCUGCCAGCCCUGGGAGGAAAAAAGCAGCUCGUCUCAUGCCCCCGCCCUUGACACACGAGACAAUCCACGUCUGCUGGCAUAUUAUCAUACGUUAGCAGAUCUCUGAGAGCCAAACUGCAGACCACAGCAGCUGGGCCGGGGCCUGGAGCGGGCCUGGGAUCCUCCCCCUGGAUGGGACCAGCCUGCCUCGAAUUCCCCACACACUGUGUUCCAGGCACUUCCCCCUUCAUUAGCACUGUGUGUGCCAUUCACCACCCUCUCCAUCGCUGUCACCGCGGUCCUUCCCGUGAGAAGUGCACCCAGGGGCCUGCAUUUAUAAAUAAGUCCAUGGUGUUUGUUGGAGGAUGACGGGA